CCUACGGGAGGCAGCAGUAGGGAAUCUUCCACAAUGGGCGAAAGCCUGAUCGAGCAACGCCGCGUGGGUGAAGAAGGUCUUCGGAUUGUAAAACUCUGUUUUUAGAGAAGAAAGUGCGUGAGUGCCUCUUUUCACGUUUCGACGUUAUCAAACCAGAACGCCACGGCUAAUUACGUACUAGCAGCCGCGGUAAUACGUUGGUGGCUAGCGUUGUCCGGAUUUCUUGGGCGUAAAGGGAACGCAGGCGGUCUUUUAAGUCUGACGUGAAAGCCUUCGGCUUAACCGUGGUAGUGCAUUGGAAACUGGGAGACUUGAGUGCAGGAGAGGUGAGUGGAACUCCAUGUGUAGCGGUGAAAUGCGUAGAUAGAUGGAAGAACACCAGUGGCGAAGGCGGCUGUCUGGUCUGUAACUGACGCUGAGGUUCGAAAGCGUGGGUAGCAAACAGGAUUAGAUACCCUUGUAGUC
rnacentral:rRNA from 1 species